UCGAUUGAGUUUGAUCCUGGCUCAGAAUCAACGCUGGCGGCGUGCCUAACACAUGCAAGUCGAACGAGAAAGUGGAGCAAUCCAUGAGUAAAGUGGCGACCGGGUGAGUAACACGUGACCAAUCUACCUUCGAGUGGGGGAUAACUCCGGGAAACCGGAGCUAAUACCGCAUAACAUCUCUGGAAUGCAAAUUCCGUUGAUCAAAGGAGCAAUUCGCUUGAAGAGGAGGUCGCGGCUGAUUAGCUAGUUGGUAGGGUAAUGGCCUACCAAGGCUUAGAUCGGUAGCCGGCCUGAGAGGGCGCACGGCCACACUGGAACUGAAACACGGUCCAGACUCCUACGGGAGGCAGCAGUGGGGAAUUUUGCGCAAUGGGGGAAACCCUGACGCAGCAACGCCGCGUGGAGGAUGAAGUCCCUUGGGAUGUAAACUCCUUUCGACCAAGACGAUAAUGACGGUACUGGUGGAAGAAGCACCGGCUAACUCUGUGCCAGCAGCCGCGGUAAUACAGAGGGUGCAAGCGUUGUUCGGAAUUAUUGGGCGUAAAGGGCGCGUAGGCGGCGCGGUAAGUCACCUGUGAAAUCUCCCGGCUCAACUGGGAGCCUGCAGGCGAAACUGCCGUGCUGGAGUAUGGGAGAGGUGCGUGGAAUUCCUGGUGUAGCGGUGAAAUGCGUAGAUAUCAGGAGGAACACCUGUGGCGAAAGCGGC
rnacentral:rRNA from 1 species